UUCUUUUGUUCCACAUCAGAUUUAAGUGAUCGGCGCUAAUUUGACUAGCAUUAUACAUAUACAAAUUUCAAUUUUCAAUGCAUACGUUUAAUGAAUCAAAAGCAAUCGUAUUUAUUAUAUAAAAAGAUUUUAUUUAAAAACAAUCGUUAUCGUAUUGAUAAUGUUUGGUAUCUAGUUGGCGUGAUACGACAAAAAAUUUUUUUUUUAAAUAUAUAUUUACUCUUAUAAAAAAUGUAUAUCCUAUACCUAUAAAAGAAAGUUAAAUUUAUGCUUGUAUAAUGCUUUUUCUACCAACAAAAUCGCUGAUGCGCCUUUGAAAUACUUUAUAUGGAUAUAUGGUGUACAUAGUUUUAUGUAUGGAUGGAACGUACAUUCAAUAAGUUCGCAGCAAAAUACAUCAAAUAGGCAGUACUUUUUUCAAAUAUGGAUAUAUCCAAUCAUAAAUCAAGGUACACAAGGGCCGACUUAUUGGCUUUGCGCUAUGACGGAAAAAGUCGUCUAAGACCCCGAUGUGCAAACCAAACCGAUUUACAGGCGCUACAUUUUUGGAAAGUCAAUUUUAAUGCAGCUAGUAAUGGCAAUACAAGUGGUUAUUCUACUCAACAUAAAAAUAGUAUUUCACCAGAUACAGAAACUUCAAAUCUAAACAGUAGUGGUAAUAGUUUUAUUAGCUCUCGUCGUGCUAUUAGAAACCGGGAACGAGCAAAUAACUAUUACCAGCGCUUUGUGCCUAUUGAAUCUAAUCAAACUGCUGCCGAAGACAAAGAAACACAUGUCACUCACGGAAAGUCGUUUAAAUCGACUUCGAUUGAUCAUAGAAGCAUAUCAUCGUCCCAUUUAAUGCCAGCUUUUGCAAAGCGCCGUUUCACUGCAGUCAAUGGUGGCACUAACCCAGAAAACAAUGAAUCCCCACCAAAUAUUGGUGAUGACGAUAGUUCAUCGAAUUUUGAAUUAAUCGAUCGAACCUGCACUCCUACUCACGAUCGUAAUGACGGUAAAGCUAUUUCCACUUGCUUACCUAUUCCAAAUUUUUCCAAACCUGAGAAUGAUCCCUGUUUGGCUUUGUCUCCGUCUUCCACUUCUCGCCAAGAAAGACGUAUUGGGAGCGGCCGCCUCUUACCUAGAAAUGAUAGUUGGGACUAUAAAGAACAAAAGGCCAAAGAUUCUAGCAUUGAAAAAGAAAAAGAUGUGAAUUAUGACUCAGGUGCUACUCAUCAAAAGAGACCAAGACCAUUUAGUAGUGAUCGCUCUACGGACCAAACGGAACGCCGUUAUCAGUACGAUAAAAGAUCAUCUGAAAGGCAUGGUCUCAUUAUUCGUCGCGUAUCUAACAAGGAUUCAAACAUUAAUCAAGGUCGAGGAAAGCGCUCAAACACUUUUCACUCGCAUGAAAAACACGAAGAACCUGAAUGGUUUAGCGCAGGACCUACUUCGCAGCUUGAGACCAUUGACUUACAUGGUUUUGAAGAUAUUGAAACUAAUGAUCCAAAUUCGGAGGUUAAAAAUGAGUAUAUCAAUUUUUCUUCAGAUAAUAAUAACGUAGAGAAACAUAAAAUGGUCCCAGAAAGUCCUUCAAAAUGUGGCAGUAAUACCAGCAUUAAUGUGACUGACUCUGUAAGUGAAAAGCAAAAUGAUUCUCAAAAUUUUCUAAAUAUCGGUCAAACACCAGUGGAAGUUACCAAUCGAAAAGAAAAUCAAAGAAAUCAGUUUCCUGGUAGAGAAAAAGUUCAAAGUGAAUUCAAUUUUGAUGCUUUUCUUAAUUUGCAUCCUUUGGAUCACCCCCUAAUGAGUAAUGAUGGCGUGGAAAAGGGAGAAACAAAAGGAACAUCUCGGUUCAGUCAUUGGUUUCGACACAAAGAAAGUAAAACUUAUAAAGAUGCAUCUAUUCAAGAACCGCAUUCUCAAGAUAAGCUGGGUAUUCCAAAUGUCAAAGACUUGGAAGCUCAAAUGACUAAGCUUGGUAUAAGCACUGAGUACGCAAGUCAAAUGUCAACCCCAAUGCAUUCAUCAGAACAUACGAAGAAACCUGGUUCAAGAGAUACAGAGGCUUUUAAAAAAUUGCUACAACAAUUGGGUUCUCAAACUAAGCCUCAGCAUUCUCAGAAUGAUGUUUAUCAAAUAGUGAACACAUCAAAUGCACGUGGUCAAGAUGUUCAGGAGACUCAGCAAGUUAUCCUGCCAAAUGUUUUAUCAAGCAGUAGUAACGUUACCUCACUAAAAAGAAUGGAAAAACAAAACCUAAUCCAAAGUAAGAACUUCAUACCAUACAAAUUUCAAAGUCUCAUUAAUGGAGAUGUUUCAAUGGAGUUCUUAGAGAAUGAAUUAAGUAACCCCAAUACUUUACCUUCUACAAAAAAUGCUAUAGCCACUGUUCUCCGUGAAUACACUAAUACUAGAAAAAGUUUUGCUUCCGCUCAGCCAAUUUUCUCCCAAUCAGCGUUAAAUCAUUCCCAACAAUUUCAUCAGCAAAUAUCUGAAGAUAUGUUUUCUCCGAAUACAUCUAAUGGGAUAAAUCAGCAAUUAAAUCACAGUAAUUCACCCACCCCCCUUGCUUUUACUCCGACAUCAGUUUUAAGAAAAAUGACAGCCGAUAAAGAUACUCAUUUAACACAAGGCGUAGCUUACAACCACCAGCAUCAAUUCCAAAUCCAUCAACAAUAUUCUAAACAAGUGACAAAUGUAACCUAUAAUGAACCUCAGGAAUCACCUGCUAUGUCGGUUCAACCUAGAAUGAUUUUAGGUGGAGGAAAUUAUACAACGAACUCUAAUGGUCAGGAUAUUACAAACUUGCCACAGUGUCGUAACCAACCAAUAAUAAAAUGGCCGCCAGUUUCGACACAAAUGGUACAUGGAAAAACAUUUGGUCGUCCUAUACUAAAAGGUGGCUUAAAUUCAAUACCGCCACCAUUUCCAUCAGUAUCAUUUACUUCUAAUAUUGAUAUGCCGCAUGCUAAUCAUCAGCAGCUAAGUCACCACAUACAUCAGCAUCAUCAGCCAAAUUCUCCGUUUAGGUUUAAGUCUUCACAAAUAACUGAAUCUUUGUUAAAUUCUGAAAAUAUGCAUCAUAAUAUCACCUAUCCUGAUGCAAUCUCCCAAAUGCAGCAUCACGCGUUUUGGCAGCAGCAAUCGCGCCAACCCGGUAGGCAAAGGGUCAUUCAUGGGGAAUUGACUCGUGAGUCAAAUGUCCACAUAUCCCAAGUACCAGAAUGUUCUGAUAGCUUAGACUCAGGAAAUAUGAUAAAAAAUAAUAAGCUUGGAUCUAACAGCCAUCAUAGAGAUGGUCGACUACAUUCGCCUACCAACAACCAAUUGGCACAGUGGUUUUCACCUGAACUUCUUGCAAGAGCAUCUGCAGGAAAACUGCCUCUUUUAAAUAUUAACCAAGCCCUUAGUUUAGAAGAGUUCGAACGUAGCAUACAACAUUCCUCGACCAUUGCGCAUAAUUAAAAAAUGUAUACAAGGGUAUAAAUUUAUAUAUAAAUGGAAACAAAAUCUUAGGAGUUUAUAAAUUAAAAAUUUGUGUUGCUGUGAACAACAAAUUUUCAAGUUGAAAAUUUCCACAUUACUUAAAAUAUUUAAAGUCUAUAGUUUAUUUUAAUAUAUUUUAAAAGUAUAUGUACUGUAAAUACACGCAAUAUAUACACAUGUAAACAUUACAAAAAUUUGUGAACUAAUCAUGGAUAAUCAUAGUAAGUAUGUGACAGUGCAUUUUAGAUAGUAAAAAAAUCACAAUUUUUUCUGAACUGACGCUACAGAGGCUAUUUUUUGUUUGGGGGCGGCGCCAAAAGUUUGUAACAAAUGUAAACUGGGUGGGUUAAAGUCAUACAUAAAACAAAAAAGGUAUUUCUUGGUUUUGCAGCAUACUGAAAAAAAUAGUGUUUUUCUUAUUUAGCGCCCCCACCAAUUAAGGGGUGUUACCGCACAUCGUACGGUACAAAUCGCUUUCAUAGAUCCGAGAGAAAAUGCUACCCCCAAAUGUGUAAGGUUUAUUGUGGAACUGUCGUAUCACCCCCCUUGCUUUUACUCCGACAUCAGUUUUAAGAAAAAUGACAGCCGAUAAAGAUACUCAUUUAACACAAGGCGUAGCUUACAACCACCAGCAUCGUUUCCAAAUCCAUCAACAAUAUCCUAAUCAAGUGACAAAUGUAACCUAUAAUGAACCUCAGGAAUCACCUGCUAUGUCGGUUCAACCUAGAAUGAUUUUAGGUGGAGGAAAUUAUACAACGAACUCUAAUGAUCAGGAUAUUACAAACUUGCCACAGUGUCGUAACCAACCAAUAAUAAAAUGGCCGCCGGUUUCGACACAAAUGGUACAUAGAAAAAAAUUUGCUAAUGCUAAUGCCGCAUGCUAAUCAUUAGCAGCUACGUCACCACAUACAUCAGCAUCAUCAGCCAAAUUCUCCGUUUAGGUUUAAGUCUUCACAAAAAACUGAAUCUUUGUUAAAUUCUGAAAAUAUACAUCAUAAUAUCACCUAUCCUGAUGCAAUCUCCCAAAUGCAGCAUCACGCAUUUUGGGUCAUAAAGGGUCAUUCAUGGGGAACUGACUCGCGAGACAAAUGUCCACAUAUACCAAGUACCAGAAUGUUCUGAUAGCUUAGACUCAGGAAAUAUGAU